rnacentral:rRNA from 1 species
CUGGCGGCAGGCUUAACACAUGCAAGUCGAACGGGCGUAGCAAUACGUCAGUGGCAGACGGGUGAGUAACGCGUGGGAACGUACCUUUUGGUUCGGAACAACACAGGGAAACUUGUGCUAAUACCGGAUAAGCCCUUACGGGGAAAGAUUUAUCGCCGAAAGAUCGGCCCGCGUCUGAUUAGCUAGUUGGUGAGGUAAUGGCUCACCAAGGCGACGAUCAGUAGCUGGUCUGAGAGGAUGAUCAGCCACAUUGGGACUGAGACACGGCCCAAACUCCUACGGGAGGCAGCAGUGGGGAAUAUUGGACAAUGGGCGAAAGCCUGAUCCAGCCAUGCCGCGUGAGUGAUGAAGGCCCUAGGGUUGUAAAGCUCUUUUGUGCGGGAAGAUAAUGACGGUACCGCAAGAAUAAGCCCCGGCUAACUUCGUGCCAGCAGCCGCGGUAAUACGAAGGGGGCUAGCGUUGCUCGGAAUCACUGGGCGUAAAGGGUGCGUAGGCGGGUUUCUAAGUCAGAGGUGAAAGCCUGGAGCUCAACUCCAGAACUGCCUUUGAUACUGGAAGUCUUGAGUAUGGCAGAGGUGAGUGGAACUGCGAGUGUAGAGGUGAAAUUCGUAGAUAUUCGCAAGAACACCAGUGGCGAAGGCGGCUCACUGGGCCAUUACUGACGCUGAGGCACGAAAGCGUGGGGAGCAAACAGGAUUAGAUACCCUGGUAG